GUUGUUGCCGUAUGUAGGACGGAUCUAGAAAUCAAAUGAGUUUAGCAUGAGGGUCUCCUCGGUACCGUCUCUUUGGCUGAGAGGGGUAGGCAAUUUUCCUAUAUCUUGUGACCAUGACGAAAACGAUUGCAUAAUGGACAACGUUGAAAAGACUAACGACAGAACACAGAGAACUAUAAAUGUUAUUACUUUAGUGAUGACAACACCAACCAUUUGUAUAAUUACUAUCGAUUGUUCUAGAAGGAAAUAAAAACAAAAGGAAAGGGAGAAAAAAAGAGAAAGAAGAAAUCAUAGUUAAAAUGCUUAUUGAGAAAUCCAUUAUCAAGAUUCAUUCUGUUGAGAUAACUCACUGAGUUUUAGUCUGGUAUAUGACAUGUAAUUACAGCAAUUGUAGGAUAUCAUUUCAAAUCUUUAUCAAGUGCACACAGAACAUUGUAAUAUAUCAAUGUUCUGAAAUAUCACCUCUACAAUUAUAUGAUAUUACAUAGCAAUUUUAAAUGUUUAUUAUAUUCUUACAGAUGUAUUUGUGAAGAACUUUUUGCAAGAUGCCAUGUCAUUAGACAUUUGUGUCUUAAGCGUGAAAUCUAAUAAAUGAUUGUUGUAGCAUAGGUGGAUCAAGUGACGGGAACAGGCGUUUAUGCACUUAGCUUUUGGGUUAGGGAGAGAAGUUUCAGAAAAUUUGCACAAGUCAGCUUUAUUUCUGCGAAUCUUCCUGACAAAUGGGUAUUUUUAAAUGAAAUUUUCUUCAAAUACCUUUCAGAAUGUGAUAAUCACGAUUAUAUCAGAAUCUGAUGUGAUAAGGAAAAAUGGAACACCUGUAUGAAUUGGUGAACAGUCGAUAGCAUUGGUGAACAGUCGAUAGCAUUGGUGAGCGUAAAAAUUAGAAUUGUAAUUGAGAGACAGUUAGUUGACAUAGAGGACUGGAAGCCAUCUGAAGAUGAGAAAAGAGUUACUUGUAUCAGGAUGAUUCGUGCCGGAUAUCAAAAUGGCGACAUCGUAACUGCAGCUCAAUGGUCUGUGAACACUGUAAAGGCUUUCCUACAAUCUAUGUAAUGUCCCAAGUAUCAAGAAAACCAAGUUCCCUCAAACUAUGAAGGUCUUUGGGUGUGUUUCCAGUGAAGGUGACGUCAUACCAUCCCACAUCUUUGAACAGGGACUUGGGCUCAAUUCAAACGGAUAAGUGAAACUGUAGCGAAGUUCUGGCUGAAAAGGACUGCUGAUAGAGCGUUUCUUUAUAGCUAGAUUGUUUCCUUUUGGCAAUAUAGAUUUGCCGUUUGCUGAA